UUUUGGAAGUGGUUUGUUUAAGCGACCCAUUUUGGGAAUAAAAACGGUCUCCGAGUAAAUAAAAUGCAUAUGUUGAAAAAAUAGUGAGGAUUUCUAUUUUAAAGAAUUAUGAUUCACUUUUCUUCUCACCUACAAAUUAAUGUCAUUUUAUUCAAAUGGCUGCAUACAAUUAAGAUCAAGAAAGAAAAAAUAAUGAUUCUAUUUCAUUCUCAAGAAAUAAUUUCAAAAUUUUAAUAAAUGCUUAAAUGAAGGAAUAUGAAUUUAUAAAACAGUGAUAACAAGUGACAAACUACUUCAUAUUCUUAAGCGCCAUUUUAGAGGAGAUGUACAUUCGGCAUC